CUUGCCGGCACCUAAAACUUGUGUUACAAUAUAUUGUCGUGCGCGGCAUUAGUUAAAGGACUAGUGAAGUGCAUUCUAACUGGGAAAAACAUAUCCAUGUCUGGUGAGUACAGUCGCAGUCUAAAUUCUGAUGAUCAAAUGGAAAAUUUCAGAGCAAGCGGAAAUAUUACCUGCCAUCUCUGUCCAUAUAAGGAGGAUCAUUCUGAUCUAGCAUGGUCAAUUCAUCGUGAGCUUUUCCUCUAGUCAUACAGCCACUAGAAAGCCCUUGAAUCGAUCGUAUUCAUACUUCCCCCAAUAUGGCAGACGCGUGUUUCGGAUCUGUGAGAUGGGAUCAGCUUAGGGCGACAUGUCUAUACAUAUUCAUCGUCUCCCCCGCCGACUGUUUGCACAUGUAAAUUUGGCGCGGCUAGAUUACAUGGUCAGUUACGUGUUAUUCGGUUAGAAUUCCGCAAAAAGAUCUUGUGCUCGGCGGCCAUGCAGCGGACUUUGAGACGAAAAAUGCAAAUGUUUGCUUUGUUGCAUUGCUUGGGUUUUUUGUCGAAAAACGCAUCAAAAGUGCAGGGUAAUGGUGAGAUUUUUAGCAGGUAAAUUAGAAUAAAGGUAGUUGAAGGGUCGUUAAUUGAGGGUAAGUAAAUCGUCAACCAAGCCGCUGUCAAAGUUCGAUCUAAUUGCUUAGCUCACAAAAAUCGACUACGUAACGUUUCAAGCUUGCACAAAUAACAAGUAAGCGUCGGGUCCUCCGAAAUAUUAAGUAUCCGCCAGGUUGCCUGCAACAUCCAGGUCUCGGUAGCCGCUUUUCCCAUUCGGGAAUUUGUAUGUUUCAGAAGUUCACGGCGCAUUUUGGCCAUUUAUUGGCCAUCACGAAGGCAAACGGAGGAAAGCCAAGUAUUGGUCAUUAUAAAUAUUUAAGAGCCCAAGAGGCAAACUGGUUUGGUCAGCCCCAUCUUCUUCUGCUUUUUACCGCAUACGUAUCCAAAGAUUGGGCUUUGUUGCUGGCAACCUUUCCGCCGCUCUCCCUCGCCGUGAUUUGAUUUGAUUUGAUUUGAUUUGUGGCUACGUUAAUUUUUGCACACUUUUCCGAUAUGAAGGGCCGGGCCUGGGCAGGGGUUAAUUAACGGACAUUCUUGCCGAACUUUGAACUGUGCAAUCAUGCGCGCUGCCAAGACGCGGCAAAAGUACCGCUCCGAUAUUUGGAUUGGCGGCAAUUAGCGCCGCACUUGGGUGUGGGUGCAAAGGCGGGUGAUACCCCCACUGGUGGAUACCAAGAAUUCGAUUCCAAAGGGCCGCUGGCCGAUCUCGCUCUCGCUCUGGCAUCCUGACGCCCGACCCGAUCGCUUCGGCUGUCAGAGCGAGAGCACACAUCGACAACCUGUUGCUCAGAACCUGUGGCUAGCGACCGAAGCUUUCGACUUCGGCUCACCU
ensembl:ncRNA lncRNA:CR46143 long non-coding RNA:CR46143